rnacentral:rRNA from 1 species
AUUGAACGCUGGCGGCAUGCCUUACACAUGCAAGUCGAACGGUAACGCGGGGCAACCUGGCGAUGAGUGGCGAACGGGUGAGUAAUAUAUCGGAACGUGCCCAGUCGUGGGGGAUAACGUAGCGAAAGUUGCGCUAAUACCGCAUACGAUCUAAGGAUGAAAGCGGGGGAUCGCAAGACCUCGCGCGAUUGGAGCGGCCGAUAUCAGAUUAGGUAGUUGGUGGGGUAAAGGCUCACCAAGCCAACGAUCUGUAGCUGGUCUGAGAGGACGACCAGCCACACUGGAACUGAGACAAGGUCCAGACUCCUACGGGAGGCAGCAGUGGGGAAUUUUGGACAAUGGACGCAAGUCUGAUCCAGCCGUUCCGCGUGCAGGAUGAAGGCCCUCGGGUUGUAAACUGCUUUUGUACGGAACGAAAAGGUCUCUCUUAAUACGGGGGACUCAUGACGGUACCGUAAGAAUAAGCACCGGCUAACUACGUGCCAGCAGCCGCGGUAA